GAUUGCUGUUCAGCUUCUAGUCAUAUGGUCUUCUAAGCGGAGCCCAUAGAUGAUCAUAAGGCUAACGCGGCCACUCAUCCAUCUCUCUACAUUUUUUUUUUUUUUUUGUAAUCCCUUGCAAAAUGGAUUAAUGCUGCUUUUAUAAAUAGAAUCGUGGUGCCCAAGUCACUAGUUCAAUCUCAUAAUACACACUAUAUAAAUAAAUAUAUGUAAAUAUUACGCUUAACGCGUCUGAUUACAAGUUAUUUUUAUAAUUUUCUGGAUAUUUAAAACAAUCAAUAAUUCAAUAGUUUCAAAUGGGUGUGUGGGUGUGUGUGGGUUUGUGGCAUUUGGUUUUUUCCUGUUUCGAAAUAUGAAUAAAGCGUUAAUAUUUGAUGAUUAAUUUCAUAAUAACGCAGUGAUUUAGAUUUUUUUGUUCUUGCUAAAUUGGGUGUCGGUACGUGGUGGGCCCAUACUUCAUUGUCGCAGGGCGAUAAUCGCCGGAUCCCCACCCGCACGGCAGGUGGGGUAUGUGGGAGUCGAACCUCACUAAAACUCCUGCCGCUCACAUCUGGCGCCCUACCCCAAACCGGGUGGGAACCCAGUCGGAGCAAUUGAGACGGCGGGGCAGGGUUUACGCAGAGCACAUUACAUCCAUCGCGCUCCUAAACGGCUGGACCGAUUUUAAUGAAAUUUUCUGUGUACCUUCAGGUGGAUUCGAGAACGGCUUAGAUUUACAAAUCAGCCCGGCCGGGCGGCCGAUGGCGCUGCAGUCUGUAUCUAGGUUAUUUAUCUUUCCUAGAAAUAAUUUAUAUGGCAAAACAACCUUUGCCGGGCCAGCUAGUGUUGUUAUAUAUUUUGAAAAACGAAAUCCUGAAGUGUUCAGUCGAGGUUUUUAUUCAUUUGCAGCUGGCUCUCCGCGCCGCUUGAGUGUCUAUGCUUAACCAGCUCUUAACCAUAAAGUCGCGAGUCACGUGAGACGUGCGACAAUAUAUACAAAUACGAUAUGGAUAGAUGGAGAUACAUUGUGCGUGAGAAUGUGAUAUUGAAGGGUGGUCAGGACCCUCAGGAGUGAGGAAUACGACGAUACGAGGAGAAUGUAUGAUUUUACGUUGAGCCAAAAAAAUACAAGACUCAAUUACAGCAGGGUAUUCUGGGAUAACAUCGGCCGUGACGUCCGAUGUACAGUCAUCGAUUAUUAUCUCGUUGGGUUUACGCUACGCGCCUAGUUGUAGUAUUAGCCGCGGGAACCCCCGUGUGAUCAAGCUCUAACCCCGAAACAGAGAUCGGACGUGUGAGCAAAGUGACUUCCUUUUGGUGAGUAUAGCUCCCAACAAACCUGUAGUGUUGAUCACGAUAAACUUGAACCCGGAACCUUGCCUAGGUUCCAGGUUUUAUUUGAGGUGGGGAUCAAGCGUCGGUCGAGGAUGCGGAGGUGAUCUGUAACGGGGGGAUUUAGCAUCUUCGAGUUCAACCUUUAGUAUCUUCAGCCUUCGAGUCUCACAUACGUCCAGCGUCCCUUAGGCGCAAAAUUACUAUCGUAUCGUAAAUAUGAAGGACUUCAAUGGACUAGUUCGUAAGAUAUACCCUCCCUCCAUUUAAAACCAGAGCUCCGUGACCUCAAAUGUGAAGUUCAAAAAGUCAGGGUCAUCACUAUCCCUACGUCAAAAUGACGACCGAAUUAGAUUUAAAAUUACUAUGACAUAUUUAAUUUAGGAAAGGAAAAUGUUGUGAAUUAUAAACAUAUUCUCACACAUAAUCAUAAAAAUAAUAAUAAUUAAGAAAAAAAACCGUAGAUAAAAUACACGGAUAUAAUAAACUAACCAUUAUUAACGCAUAGUUCUUCAUCGUCUUUAUAUGCAAAGAUAUAACAGUAAGAUUAAGUUAAAAUAUAAAAAUUAAAUAAAUUCAAAUACAAAAUAUUAUUAAAUUCA